rnacentral:rRNA from 1 species
AUUGAACGCUGGCGGCAGGCUUAACACAUGCAAGUCGAGCGGGGUGAUGGUGCUUGCACUAUCACUUAGCGGCGGACGGGUGAGUAAUGCUUAGGAAUCUGCCUAUUAGUGGGGGACAACAUCUCGACAGGGAUGCUAAUACCGCAUACGUCCUACGGGAGAAAGCAGGGGAUCGCUUGUGACCUUGAGCUCAUAGAUGAGCCUAAGUCGGAUUAACGAGUUGGUGGGGUAAAGGCCUACAAAGGCGACGAUCUGUAGCGGGUGUGAGUGGAUGAUCCGACACACUGGGACUGAGACACGGCCCAACAUCCUACGGGAGGCAGCAGUGGGGAAUAUUGGACAAUGGGGGGAACCCUGAUCCAGCCAUGCCGCGUGUGUGAAGAAGGCCUUAUGGUUGUAAAGCACUUUAAGCGAGGAGGAGGCUCUUUUGGUUAAUACCCAAGAUGAGUGGACGUUACUCGCAGAAUAAGCACCGGCUAACUCUGUGCCAGCAGCCGCGGUAA